ACAUGGGUAAGAAAUAGACAAUAGCUCAGUUGUCACAACUUUAAUCAUAUUCCACGUCUCAAUUUAAACUAACAUUCCUCGGUUGACAUGUGAGGAAAAACGCUAUAGCUGAAAAUUGCUAACAAAUUGCCGAUAAAAACUAAUAAGGUCAAGGAUGUCUUGUAUUUCAUAAUAAUUUGUGGGAAUAUCCAAUUUUUUGCAUUUGCAACCUUUUGGAGAAAGAAAAAAAUAUCGUCUGCUGAGAUCACGUAUACCAAGAAAAGUACUUAAUCUAAACAAGGCUACACUUGAGGAAUUUGAUAUAAAGCUGAUUGUCGAUGUUUAGAAAUUUUGAUUUGGUUGCUGAGUAUGUGAGAAAGUCAUCGAUAAGACUACUACGAAUUCAUCAGGCUAAGGAAGAAAACUAGGGCUCUAGAAGUUUGUCAGAGAAGCCAUCAAUUUGAAGUAUGGGUUAACGAUUUUAAUCGUCACCCCGAUUGAGUUGCUAAAAUCUAGGUACAAUACUAAGGUUUAGUUUUUUGCCUUCAUGGAUGGGUUUGAGGUUCCCUAGAUAAAGUGUUUGGUUGGGUAUAUUCCUAAUUGGUAGCUUUUACAACUAAGUUUUCUCGACGAUGUAAAAGUCGUUUGAUAAGAUGCAAAGAAGAUAAGGGUGGUAUUAGAAAGGUGGAUUGAUGAUGUUUCAAUGGUAUCUUAGGUAAAAUUUUGAGAAAAGACGCCAAAGAUAUGCGUCCUCAGAACAUACAAUACUACUUCAUUUCAUUACACCACGUACUAAAGGCCUUCACAACUUUCUCGAUACUCAAUUCACUCUUACAGCGGGAAUUCAACUCGUGCUUCAAUUCUAAUAUUUGUCUGUGGAGGUGAUCAGAAAGGUGAUUGGUCGAGAAUGUUCUGGUUACCUAGAUGGGUAAAAUGGUUAACAUAACUGCGAGUUUACGAUCAUCCUACAAGGCUUGCUUCUAAGUUUCCACUAUUAUAAUUUAUACGGCUCAGGUAGUCACUGUUAACCAAUCUAUUAGUCACGCC
rnacentral:lncRNA from 1 species